rnacentral:rRNA from 1 species
GACGAACGCUGGCGGCGUGCUUAACACAUGCAAGUCGAACGGAAAGGCCCCUUUGGGGGUACUCGAGUGGCGGACGGGCGAGUAACACGUGCGUAACCUGCCCUCGACUUCGGGAUAACUUCAUGAAACUGGGGCUAAUACCGGAUAGGAAUCCUUGCUGCCUGGUGGGGGUUGGAAAGCUUCGGCGGUUUUGGAUGGACUCGCGGCUUAUUAGGUUGUUGGUGGGGUAGUGGCUUACCAAGGCUUUGAUGGGUAGCCGGCCUGGGAGGGCGACCGGCCAAAUUGGGGCUGGGGUACGGCCCAGACUCCUACGGGGGGCAGCAGUGGGGAAUAUUGCCAAAUGGGCGGAAGCCUGAUGCAGCAACGCCGCGUGCGGGAUGACGGCCUUCGGGUUGUAAACCGCUUUCAGCAGGGGCGGAGCUUGUGGUGACGGUACCUGCAGAAGAAGCACCGGCUAACUACGUG